UGUGUGGGUGUGUGUGUGUGUGUGUAUGCGAAAUAAAUAAAUAUACAUAUAUAUGUUAUAUAUAAGAUAUAUAUUGUGCAGUAACAGCAGUCAAUUUUUAUCCUUCUAUUAUUUCGUUGUCGACGCAUUGACCAAACGCAAUAGUCCAUGGAGUAGAACAGCCGACUGCGGAUCGUCAAUUGACCUCGCGGAUAAUUUUUAUUUCUCAAACAUCAUCAUAAUUUAAAUAAACAAAACAAUAGACCAAACAACGUUUUCAAAAUCAACCAAAAUAGAAACAUUUGCUAAUUUAAAAUGCAAAUAUAACAAUAGAACUCCAAAUGCCAACUCAGCCACAAUUCAGUUUUGAAAAGCAAUAGAACGGAUACAGUUAAAGCUUCAGUUAACAGUUUUCACAACAAUACUAAUUUACAAACAUCAACAACAAUUCAACGCAACAAUUUUACAUAAGAAACCCAAAUUCAACGAUUUGAACUCGAAUUCCUAAACACGAAAAGCGACAACAACAAUGUGUUACCGAUUAUUUACAAAAAAUGAUUAGGAUAUAGCAAAAUUGAAAUCAAAAGUACAAAGCUAAGGAAAACAAACGAAACUAAUGGUUCACAAUUUACAAUUUUGAUAACGAAUAAAAAGCCAACAAAAUAUAAUUUAAACUUUGAAAAAUAUUCUGAAACUACGCAAAAAAGUUCUCGUUGAGUUUUAUUUUACCAGCAAUAAGAGGAAACUUCGAUUAAAAUGUCGCAAAGCAAAAAACCAAAAUUCGAAAUCAAAAACUUAAAAUAAUAAGAACACAACUAUAUAAUAAACUAAUUAUUUUUUUAAUUAAACACAAGAACGGCAUAAGAAACAGAAAGUAAUAAAAAGCAAUU